UACGAAGGGGGCUAGCGUUGUUCGGAAUUACUGGGCGUAAAGCGCGCGCAGGCGGCUAUCCAAGUCAGUGGUGAAAGCCCGGAGCUCAACUCCGGAACUGCCAUUGAAACUGUUUAGCUUGAGGAUGAGAGAGGUGAGUGGAAUUCCCAGUGUAGAGGUGAAGUUCGUAGAUAUUGGGAAGAACACCGGUGGCGAAGGCGGCUCACUGGCUCAUUACUGACGCUCAGGCGCGAUAGCGUGGGGAUCAAACGGG
rnacentral:rRNA from 1 species